rnacentral:rRNA from 1 species
AUUGAACGCUGGCGGCAUGCCUUACACAUGCAAGUCGAACGGCAGCACGGGUGCUUGCACCUGGUGGCGAGUGGCGAACGGGUGAGUAAUAUAUCGGAACGUACCUUAUUGUGGGGGAUAACCCAGCGAAAGCUGUGCUAAUACCGCAUAAUCCCUUAGGGGGAAAGCGGGGGACCGUAAGGCCUCGCGCAAUUAGAGCGGCCGAUACCUGAUUAGCUAGUUGGUGGGGUAAAGGCUCACCAAGGCGACGAUCAGUAGCUGGUCUGGGAGGACGAUCAGCCACACUGGGACUGAGACACGGCCCAGACUCCUACGGGAGGCAGCAGUGGGGAAUUUUGGACAAUGGGGGCAACCCUGAUCCAGCAAUGCCGCGUGAGUGAAGAAGGCCUUCGGGUUGUAAAGCUCUUUUGUCAGGGAAGAAACAGCAGCUCUAACACAGUAUGCGAAUGACGGUACCUGAAGAAUAAGCACCGGCUAACUACGUGCCAGCCGCCGCCGUAA